GGCAGUAUAGCUUAGUGGCAAGAGCACGGACUUGGGAGUCAGAGAUUGUGGGUUCUAAUCCUGGCUCUGCCG
rnacentral:tRNA from 1 species